rnacentral:rRNA from 1 species
UGAGGAAUAUUGCGCAAUGGGCGAAAGCCUGACGCAGCGACGCCGCGUGAAGGAUGAAGGUCUUCGGAUUGUAAACUUCUGUUAAGUGAGAAGAAAGACCCAAUUCUAAUAAAGUUGGGGGAUGACGUUAUCACUAGAGAAAGCACCGGCUAACUUCGUGCCAGCAGCCGCGGUAAUACGAGGGGUGCGAGCGUUAUUCGGAAUUACUGGGCGUAAAGGGUGCGUAGACGGUUUAUCAAGUCUCCUGUUCAAGACCUCGGCUUAACUGGGGAACAGCGGGGGAAACUGAUAUGACUAGAGGAUGAGAGAGAGAAGUGGAAUUCUCGGAGUAGCGGUAAAAUGCGUAGAUCUCGAGAGGAACACCGAUGGCGAAAGCAGCUUCUUGGCUCAUACCUGACGU